ACGCACGCUGGCGGCAUGCCUAACCCCUGCCAGUCGCACGAGACCUUCGGGUCUAGUGGCGCACGGGUGCGUAACGCGUGGGAACCUGCCCUUAGGUUCGGAAUAACUCCCCGAAAGGGGUGCUAAUACCGGAUAAUGUCUUCGGACCAAAGAUUUAUCGCCUUUGGAUGGGCCCGCGUUGGAUUAGCUAGUUGGUAGGGUAAAAGCCUACCAAGGCGACGAUCCAUAGCUGGUCUGAGAGGAUGAUCAGCCACACUGGGACUGAGACACGGCCCAGACUCCUACGGGAGGCAGCAGUGGGGAAUAUUGGACAAUGGGCGAAAGCCUGAUCCAGCAAUGCCGCGUGAGUGAUGAAGGCCUUAGGGUUGUAAAGCUCUUUUACCCGGGAUGAUAAUGACAGUACCGGGAGAAUAAGCUCCGGCUAACUCCGUG
rnacentral:rRNA from 1 species